ACAUAUCUGGGCAAAGGAGAUACGUUGAUAUCCAAACGCACCCCAAUCAUCCUCUUCGUCUCUUUUCUGAGAGAAACAGAGUCACCUUUUGGCUGUAAUGCCCAUUUCGGAGUUGACUCAGACCGAUGCGUACUCGCCGAGUUCUCUGCACGUAUGGCGUACGCUCCUGAACUGGUUGGCCUUCUUCUUCCGGAUCUUCCUUCAGAUCCUCAGAGCUCUCAGCCACCACGCUCUGCCCUCUUCCUCCUCCUCUUCUUCUUCUUCGUCUUUCAAGCCCUUACCGGUCGUUGAGCUCCCGGACCACGACUCGCCUGCCGCCUCCGAAAUAGAAAUCCCGGUCACCGCCAGAGACUCCGAUUCCGACGAGCGUCUCGAGAAGCUCACGGUAGUUCUUGACUUGGACGAAACUCUAGUAUCUACAUACGAGACAUCUAAUUUGCCAGAUAGCGUUCGUAAUCAAGCAACAGAAGCUGGGUUGAAGUGUUUCGAACUGGAAUGCAUAUCUUCGGACAAGGAAUGUGAAGGAAAACCUAAGGUCACCUAUGUUACAGUUUUUGAGCGCCCAGGAUUGCAAGAAUUCUUGAAAGAAGUCGGUCAAUUUGCGGAUCUUGUGCUGUUUACUGCUGGUCUUGAAGGUUAUGCUAGACCACUUGUGGACAAAAUAGAUACUGAAAAUCGAUUUGGUCUUCGACUUUAUCGCCCUUCUACAACUAUCACCGAGUAUCGGGAGCACGUGAAGGAUCUCUCCAUCCUAUCAAAGAAUCCAAAACGAAUUGUCAUUGUUGAUAACAAUCCAUUCAGUUUCUUGUUGCAACCACUGAAUGGAAUUCCUUGCAUUCCAUUUACUGCCGGGCAACCCCAUGACACAGAGCUUUUGGAAGUCCUCCUUCCACUCCUCAAGCACCUCUCUCAACAGAAAGAUGUGAGACCAGUGCUCUCUGAAAGGUUCCAUAUGCCUGAAUGGUUUCAAAAGCAAGGGAUUCCUAGUUCUGCUUGGACAUCUUAGGAUACGGGCUCUCCUUGCAAUAAGAGCCGCCCUUCUUCUUUGUACAAUCCUCCACGAUUACUUUUUCCCAAAGGCAGCAUCUCAUCAUUGGACUAAUUGUACACUGGAGUGAUGAAAGCUCCUUCGAAGUUCAAUUCGAAGAUGUCAACUGCUGCGAACCGUGGUCACAAAGACAGGACCGCUAAUUAUUUGCUGUGUACAUGUUUUGUGCGGUGCAUGUUACGAUAUGAGAUCUGGAUUACCUAAACUUGCCAAAGCUAUGACUAAGGGCAUGAAAUAGGAGCGCAUUGGAUGAGAACAAGGCAUCGCAUACACCAGAUGCCUCCCAAGUUCACACGCAUGAAUUUAUCUAGACACGCUGUUGUUGAAUCAAAGGUUUAGGUUUGUGUUUAAGAAGCCAGGAAAUCCCACCUCUCUUUCUCUCUCUCUCUCUCUCUCUCUCCAUUUUCUUCUUUUAGAUACAAAGGGAAGAAGAUUAGAGGCCGUCCUUGGCAGCCCCCUUUGUGAAAAUAACACGGGUUGCCCAAUCUUAGACCUGAGGCCUGCGCCACCUAAGGACGUACAAUGGACCAACCCCCGAGUGAAGUAAGGUGUUAUUCACAAUAAGUAACAAGCACACGCCCUAUCACUUGUACACAGCUCGAUAGAUGGGGUAUAAGCUAAGGAAAAAGGGUAAUCUUAUUUCUGUUUUGACAAUCAACGGGGAGGGAGAGAGAGAAUUUGAGCCCUAGUAAAGAUUUAAACCCCGGGCUAUUGACUCGUCGGCACAACCUUUAAUUUCCAUUAAAGUUUACUAGAGAAGCUUGUGCCUUGUGGGAAUCUUUCACUUGCUUUCGGCUUGUGAUCUUGCAGCUGAGAAUUAUCUGGCAGUCUCCAACAAUGGGGAGCAGAGUGAGGGCACUCUGCCCGGCCACAUGGUCGGCGGUUGCCUUGUUAAGUUGUUAAUGAUUUCUAUCAAUCAGAUUAGUUAGCAGUCCAACAUCAUGUUAGGAAUUCAGGCUACCCACAUGUGACUUUUGCAGCUUUCUUUGUCCUUAAAGCUUAUCACUGUCAGUGCCAAGUAGCAGCAUUAGCUGCGUUGGGAACUUUUCCUUCAAAAGGAUGAUCUUCUUUCCGUUUA